AUAAACAUUAUAAUACAAUAAUUUAAUCAAAAAAUACAAUUCAAAAAAUCAUUAUUCAAAAGAAUUAUAUACUUAAUAUUUGAAAAUCAAAUAUAUUUUUGCUAAAAUUGUACUUACCUGGCCAAGGAGAUCGACCAUCUUUUUACGGAUCGAUCGAUUGUUGAGCAUGUGGUCGAUCCGAAAAUACUCUGCAGUUUAAUUAAAUAUCUAAAACAUUUAUUGCAACACUCAAGAGAUAGUUUUGCUAAAUAUGAUAACUAUAUAGCCAACAAAAUUACAAAAAAAUAUUUAAAUAGUAAAAAAAUGUUAAUUUAACG
rnacentral:lncRNA from 1 species